GCGCAGGCGGAGGGGCUCGCGGCCUAUCAGCUUGUUGGUGGGGUAACGGCCCACCAAGGCGACGACGGGUAGCUGGUCUGAGAGGAUGGCCAGCCACAUUGGGACUGAGAGACGGCCCAG
rnacentral:rRNA from 1 species